rnacentral:tRNA from 1 species
GGCUGCGUAGCUCAGUGGUUAGAGCGAGGGUCUCAUAAGCCUCUGGCAAACGGCGCUCUCGACAAAGGGAAAGCCCCGAUAACUCGGGGCUUUUCUGCAUUUCGACGCCCGCAUCCGGCUGAAUCGCCGCCGCCA